GGAAAGGGUUAAUUGUUUGAAGCAACCGUCAUACUUUUUGCUCGUUCACUUUGACCCAAUCUGUGGAAGAGGCAGGAGUGCGAUUUUGAAAUCGCGUCGCGGUGUGUUUUUGAAGGAAAAUUAACGAAGAAAUUCAAAUUUACCAAGGUUUCGUUAAGUGUCUGUGCUUUGAAAUAAAGCUCCAAAAGCCGUUCGACGGCGGUUUAUUUAGGGUUGAUUUCCUGAGAACCAACACAUCCUUCGAGGCUCGGCACACCGCAGAGGACAACGUGACGCACUGCUGACCCCACGAUCUGGAGUCAAAGUUCCCGACAAAGCCAUUUCCGUCGGAAGGGAGUGCUACGCUAUAACAGCACUCCGGGCAGAGCCAGUUUGAAUUCAAACCGUGAGUACCCUAACCCGUUAUAACAUGCGCAUGUGGGUGGGUAUUUCUUAUUGAACGGUAAAUGA